rnacentral:misc_RNA from 1 species
ACAGAACCGCGUGAGGGAUAGUAGUGAAAAGCCCACAGCGAAGUGUAGCGAUAGCGCAACGUAGUGAGGACUUGAAACGAAUAGCCCGUUCGCCG